AUUGAACGCUGGCGGCAGGCUUUACACAUGCAAGUCGAACGAGGUCUUCGGAUCUAGUGGCAGACGGGUGAGGAACACGUGGGAACAUCCCUUUCAGUUCGGAAUAACGUUGGGAAACUAACGCUAAUACCGGAUACGUCCUUCGGGAGAAAGAUUUAUCGCUGAAAGAUUGGCCCGCGUCUGAUUAGCUAGUUGGUGAGGUAACGGCUCACCAAGGCUACGAUCAGUAGCUGAUCUGAGAGGAUGAUCAGCCACAUUGGGACUGAGACACGGCCCAAACUCCUACGGGAGGCAGCAGUGGGGAAUAUUGGACAAUGGGCGCAAGCCUGAUCCAGCCAUGCCGCGUGAGUGAUGACGGCCUUCGGGUUGUAAAGCUCUUUUGUCCGGGAAGAUAAUGACUGUACCGGAAGAAUAAGCCCCGGCAAACUUCGUGCCAGCAGCCGCUGUAAAAC
rnacentral:rRNA from 1 species